GCCGGGCGUUGUGGCGGGCGCCUGUGGUCCCAGCUACUUGGGAGGCGGAGGCAGGAAACUCGCUUGAGCCCAGGAGUUGGAGGUUGCUGUGAGCUGUGAUGCCACGGCACUCUGCCCAGGGGGACAGCUUGAGGCUCUGUCUCAAAAAAAAAAAAAAAAAAAAAUUAUCAGGAAAAUGUGUUAUAAAUCUAAGUAUUAUGAUUAUUAUUAUUUUUUUUACUUUGUUACCCUUGGUAGAGUGCUGUGAUGUCACAGCUCACAGCAACCUCCAACACCUGGACUUAGGUGAUUCUCUUGCCUCAG
rnacentral:SRP_RNA from 1 species